GUGCACACACUUGUGUGAUCAGCAGCUACUUAAGCUCAGGUGUGUCUGCUGUUCAUUUUCAGUCACUUUCUGCGUUGCUCUGUGUUUUUCAUAUCCAAGUUCUCAACAAGGUUGAAUAUGGCAGCAACAGUCACUGUCAAUAGACCUCCACCAGCUCAUCCAGGACUUAUUGGUGGGAAUGUACAGUCACGCCCUAACGGCAGUGAACUGAACUCUGGACUGCAGGAUCCAGGACUACAGCAGGAGCCUGGACCUUCAUCCCAGCCUCAACACCACGUCACUGCACGGCCUAUCUUCUAUGUCCCUGCUCCGCCUCCACCCCCUUUCCUCCAGUACCAGUGGCCCAUGCCCUUCUCUUAUAAUCCCUUUGCCGGCGUACCAGGCAUGGGCUAUGGUAUGGUCAUGCCCCCAUUCCCUCCUCCCCCCUUCAUGGAGGCUCCAGCCUAUAUUUUGCCGCACCCUCCCAUCCAACCAGUUGACUACAGGCGCUUGCUGCACCCCCAGGUCCAUCCUUCCAGCGCACCCUACCAGAACCCAAACCAGACCCGCAGGUUCCGCCCGCCUCAUACUGGCCCUGUUAGAGAAACUGUGAACUCCUCAGUCCAAACAGAGCCCACACAGAGUGGUUACGGUGAUGGGAGCCCACUUGUCAUAUCAGAUUCUGGGCACGGAACUGCCUCAAACUCUUCAUCCUCUUCAAGUUCCAGCUCCCAAAAACGGGAUUGUGCUGAUGUUGAGAACUAUGUUUUACCCAACAGUAAUACAAAUGACUUGGAGGUCAACAGGACCUGCGUAAAUGGCACAAUCAAACAUGGCUUUGACAUCCAACAUCCUACAGGAACAAAGAUUAUCCAGUCAUCUAUCAAAGCAACUGCAGAAACACAGACGUUCUGUAAAAACAGUGUUAGUCAGGAGACUGUUCCCCCUUACAAAAAUGGCCACUGCAAUAUGUGGUCAGUGAGUUCUCAAGACAGCAUGGUUCCUGUGUGCAGCUCUUCUCAACAAGAGGAUGAGGCUGUCAAAGAGAGACGUGUCUCUGUUCCUGACAUCCUGAUGAGUUGGGGAGAUGCCACGCCGCAGGCAACAAGGCUGAAAAUUGCAGACAAGCUAGGUCAGAACGACCUCGAGCUGCCAUCUUACGAAACUGAAGUAGAACGCGAAAAGUCAGUUAACCAAAAUGCAACUGAGGCCAAGAAUGGGCCAGUGGUGGCUGAUGUUGAAAAUGUCGUAAAUUCUAAAGACAGUGAAGCACUUUUUAAGAUCCUCAAACUGCCUUCUGCUCUUCAUGAGCUUCUCUCAGAGUCCAUAAAAGAGAAUGAAUCUCUGGGACUGGUUGGCUCUACAAGGCAGUGUCUGCCCUCCAGAGAUGACCUUCAGCGUUCCAUAAAUGAAUCCUAUAAGCUCCCUGAGGAUGAGCAAGAAAAUGGCAAUGAGACAAACCUACAUGAAGAUACUUCAGAGAUCAUUCCCUAUCAAAUGUCUAAAAAUAAUUUUCAGAUUAAGAAAAAAAUGAAUGAGUCUGUCUGGUCUGUGGAGUCUCUUGCCCCCUUUAUCCCCACUAAGGAGUUGUCGCUGCAGAGAGGCAUGUUUGAGCCUGAAAUAAUCAUUGAGAUGACAGAAGAAGCUGAAAAUGGUAGACCGUCAACCCAGAAUGACAACCUAAUUGUCAAAUCUACUACAGAAAGAAGGCAGUCUCGCAGGUUUUCCUCUCCUGACUCUAUUCCGAUAUCAGACAACUGGCUCAUUUAUAGUACCCCAGCUGAGAAGCAAAGGCAAUCAGAGAAGCCAGAAAUGCAGAGUGAAAAUGAUGCUUCUGAAAUGACCGGACCGAAACAGGACCAGAGCAUGGCUCCUCUAGAAAAGAUUCCCUUAGAUUCCCUGACUUACCUGCAAAGUAAAGAGAAUUUAUCUACCCCCACUAAGCAGGACAUGAAUGAAAAUGGGUCUUCUGAACCGGAGGCUAAUCAAAGCCCAAACCAGGAAUCUCUGACUAUAAAUGAGCAGCAGGAGAAAAGCCCCUGCUCUCCUGAGCAGAAAGAAAGUCUCCCCUUGAACUCUGCAACAGAGAAGAAAAUCUCAUCUGUUGGCCCGCUGCUUCUCCAAAAUGGAGCUGACAUGUGUUUGAUGGAUAGACUAUGUGGGAAUGAAGAAGUCAGUCAGCUGGGAAAUGAGCAGUUGUGUGUCCCAAUGGCUGACCAGACGAUAGUCAAAGUGUCCCCGUCAAAGGGUCAUUUGGUGGACUGUGGCAUCCAAUGUACUGGAUUCCUGUGUCCAUGUGAAAAGGUGCAGUAUUCCAUGGGACUAAGCAGAGGACCUCCUUUUGAAUGUUCAGACAUGAGGAAAGCAAACGGUGGCAAGGCUCAAGGGGGCUUCCACAAGAAUGAGAACAUUCAUAAGAACCAGAAGAGGCAUGGCCAGUGGAGGAACAGAGGUCAAGAAAAGCAGAGCAGCCAGCAGGAAGCCUACAAUGACAACUGUGGCAAGUCUUGGAAAUCAAAGGGGUCUGCUCUGAUCGUUCCCAGCAUUCAGCUCUGCUGGUGGGCUUCCUUUUUGUUAUAGGGCUGUCACAGCCCAACUCAAAGACUGCAACAAGGUGGAGACUGCGCAAGAUGGUGGAAAUGGAAGGAACCCAAGGUACUGACAACACUCUACAAGAAGAGACUUUGUUUUUAAAGAAUCGAUCUAAUAUUACAAUGAAUUUAAAAUAAAAUGCAAUUCUAUUUUUCAAUAAAUGUUUGUACAAGUCAA